rnacentral:rRNA from 1 species
CCCUUAGAUGUUCUGGGAUGCACGCGCGUUACACUGAUUCGUUCAACGAGUUUAUGACCUUGCCUGAUGAGGUGGGGGAAUCUUUUCAAAUCGCAUCGUGAUGGGGAUAGAGUAUUGUAACUGUUAGUCUUCAACGAGGAAUUCCUAGUAAGUACGUGUCAUCAGCUCGUACUGAUUAUGUCCCUGCCCUUUGUACACACCGCCCGUCGCUCCUACCGAUUGAGUGCUCAGGUGAAUAGUAUGGACUGCAUCAGUAUUCGGUCUCCGAAUGUUGACGCGAGAAAUUCUGUGAAUCUUAUUGCUUAGAGGAAGGAGAAGUCGUAACA